CUCAAUGGUGAGCCUAAUCGUGAAUUAAAAACCUAAUAUAUAAAAAUAAAAAGGAAAUGGACCGUAGCAGGGGAAUGGACGCCGCUACUGUACUGUAGCAGAACCAUAGAACACGAGAGAAAGAAAGAAAGCAACGUCGAAAUCAGAAGAAAAAUCGAUUCAGGUGACUUUCAGUGUGGAAGUUGACUUUGUUUCAAGUUUAUUUCUUCAUUG